ACGGUUCUAAACGGGCGUUUCCCUCACGUUCAACAGUCUGACGCCACGUGCUCCUGUCACGCGCGAGUCCAGUAGGUGGCGGUAAAGACGCAGCUGACGACGGGUAAACGUUAGUAAUGUGUGUUACGCAGAAAAGCUUUCUUGGAUAACCUUAGCGUAAAAGCAAGUAAUAAAUACCGUUUGUCCUUUUGAAACCCCUUCUAGUAAAGUAAAGUAGAAGGAUUUAAAGCUGCCAAUGGCAGUGUAGAUGCCGGCGGAGGCGGAGCCGCGGCCGCUACCAUGUGUUCCACUCUGGUUCAUAGUCACAGCGUCACGUGACACUAACUGUCGCUGGUCAGACUGUGCAUGAAUGAAGCUUCCAGCCAGUUUGAACUUGACUGGGAAUCACAGCCGUCCGUGGUCCUGGCUGUGAUAGUAGAGCUAAUAAUGCCCAGCUGUGCAGGACAGAACACUGACCUACAGACAUUCUACCGGAUCCCUCUCCGUAGCGGUGCUUCUGCACCAGCAGCAUCCUCUCGAGGCCACAGUUGACUCCUCCCCAUAAACACAGCACAGCCUCCACACUUCCUGGAUUCCAGUCCAGCAGAAACGUUCAGAGACGCGUCACGUCAGAGUGGAACAUCUGCAGCGAGUGGAACAUCUGCAGCGAGUGACGCUCACAAGUCGUCCUGUCCCGCUUUGCUGCGUCGAUGUGUGUCUUCUGUUUGGUGCCGUAUCUUGUAACGAGCCGAGCGAGGGAGCGACGUCCCCGUUCCCGAGCUGUGAUUGGACAAUUGUUCCUCCACAGCCGUGAAUGGGCUCAGCACCAACGUGCUGCAGCUGAACAAAGCUGAGAUGUGGGAGGCUGCAUCUGGACUUCAGAAGAGAACGGGUUCACGAGAGAGUGAAAGUAUUGGGACAAACGACUAGCGAGUAACUGAUAAGAUGUGAUUAGUUACAGUGAGAUGAGAAAACACAAAACGUGAGGCAGGAAGUCGCCUUUGAGCAGGGGGUCCAUGACGAGCGCUUGGCCUGACGUAUCGGUGCUGAACCAGGGCCACGAGCGAUGUAGACGAGGGAUCCCCCGACCCAGAACGCAGGAUGCGCUUCUCCGGCUGCUUCCGCGGAGCCUUCGGAGCAGCACCGCCCUGUCAAAUCCGCUCCACAAAGCAAACUUCAAGCGAAGCGGGCCCAGAACCGCGCAGAACAUCGGGUCUGUGACUCACAAGCUGGAAGCUCGUCAUCACUAUUAACUGGGUUACAGCACGAAACACAACGGGCUGCUUCCAGAUCAGCUGUGUGGGCUCAAGCAGUGCUAAUUGUUUAUCAGGCCAUUGACGGAGAAGUCGUCUUCGCUGAAUGAGACUAUAAUAACCAGACGUAUGAAGACUAAGCGGCUGAGGUACCGUGACUAAUUGCUGCUGACUGGCCUGAACGCUUGGACUGAGCCCGUUUGGAGAGCGGCCUGAGUUGUGCCCUGCAGAAAGGAUCCAGCCUCAUGUAACGGCCCGGUUCAGAGCAUCUAAGACAGGACUGAAUCUGCAGACUCUCUAACUGUUGGCUCAUCUGACCCCUCUCAUGCUGCCUAUUGUUUGCUCCUCCAGGCUAACUAACAGAACCCAGGCUGAGGUUCCGGCCCACCUCUGUCCCUCUGGGACGGGAUCAACUCCUACACGUGUUCAGCAGCGCUGCACUGAGCGACAGCGAGGGCCCAGCGUCUGCAGCGGUGGGCGGCUCCUCGCUUCCAGGCCAAAGGCCGCGCGUCGCUAACGCGUCGCUAACGCGUCGCUAACGCGUCGCUAACGCGUCGCUAACGCGUCGCUAACGCGUCGCUUAUGCGUCGCUAAAGCUUCGCUAACGCAUCGCUAGCGUGCUGCCCGCGCGUCGCUAACGCGUCGCU